rnacentral:rRNA from 1 species
UGGGGAAUAUUGCACAAUGGGCGCAAGCCUGAUGCAGCCAUGCCGCGUGUAUGAAGAAGGCCUUCGGGUUGUAAAGUACUUUCAGCGGGGAGGAAGGCGAUAAGGUUAAUAACCUUGUCGAUUGACGUUACCCGCAGAAGAAGCACCGGCUAACUCCGUGCCAGCAGCCGCGGUAAUACGGAGGGGGCAAGCGGUAAUCGGAAUUACUGGGCGUAAAGCGCACGCAGGCGGUCUGUCAAGUCGGAUGUGAAAUCCCCGGGCUCAACCUGGGAACUGCAUUCGAAACUGGCAGGCUAGAGUCUUGUAGAGGGGGGUAGAAUUCCAGGUGUAGCGGUGAAAUGCGUAGAGAUCUGGAGGAAUACCGGUGGCGAAGGCGGCCCCCUGGACAAAGACUGACGCUCAGGUGCGAAAGCGUGGGGAGCAAACA